rnacentral:rRNA from 1 species
AUGAGCAGCCUAGCUGAGCAAUUCGAUCGGAUCCGGGACGCUGUGCGCGAGUUGAUGGAGUUGGUCGGCACAGAUUCUGAAAUCAUCAAGUCUCCCGUGCAAGAGCCAAUGACUGAGGAGAUUGCGGUUGACCACGACAACGUCAUUGCCGGUCUUGCACCUGCGAAUACCCAAGCCAGAAGGGUGCCACAUUGGCUUCUGUGUUCACCCCAGCCGCAACACCUACGUCGCUCACGGCCACGGUCGUCGUCGUCCCCUUGCUUGCUGCACCUGCGGCAAGCGGCGGAACCCUCGACAGUAGCCACAACGGAAGUGGCCUAG